rnacentral:rRNA from 1 species
GAUGAACGCUGGCGGCGUGCUUAACACAUGCAAGUCGAACGGAAAGGCCCUGCUUUUGUGGGGUGCUCGAGUGGCGAACGGGUGAGUAACACGUGAGUAACCUGCCCUUGACUUUGGGAUAACUUCAGGAAACUGGGGCUAAUACCGGAUAGGAGCUCCUGCUGCAUGGUGGGGGUUGGAAAGUUUCGGCGGUUGGGGAUGGACUCGCGGCUUAUGAGCUUGUUGGUGGGGUAGUGGCUUACCAAGGCUUUGACGGGUAGCCGGCCUGAGAGGGUGACCGGCCACAUUGGGACUGAGAUACGGCGCAGACGCCUACGGGAGGCAGCAGUGGAGAAUAUUGCACAAUGGGCGGAAGCCUGAUACAGCAGCGCCGCGUGCGGAAUGACGGCCUUCGGGUUGUGAACCGCUUUCUCCUGUGACAAAGCGUGAGUGACGGUAAUGGGUAAAGAAGCACCGGCUAACUACGUG